rnacentral:rRNA from 1 species
CAGUAGCCGCGGGAAUACAGAGGGUGCAAGCGUUAAUCGGAAUUACUGGGCGUAAAGCGCGCGUAGGUGGUUUGUUAAGUUGGAUGUGAAAGCCCCGGGCUCAACCUGGGAACUGCAUCCAAAACUGGCAAGCUAGAGUACGGUAGAGGGUGGUGGAAUUUCCUGUGUAGCGGUGAAAUGCGUAGAUAUAGGAAGGAACACCAGUGGCGAAGGCGACCACCUGGACUGAUACUGACACUGAGGUGCGAAAGCGUGGGGAGCAAACAGGAUUAGAGACCCCUGUAGUCCCUGUCUCUUAUAC